CAGUCACUAAUUCUAAUAAUAAAGAAAAGAAAAGAAAAUGAGAAAAUAAAUAAAUAAAUAAAAUAAUUAAGAAAAUAAAAUUAUAUUCUCUCUUUCAAGUUCGUUCUUCUAAGAAGAAAUAGUAACUCUAUCUGAAAUUACGAGCAGGUCUUUCUUAGAUAAAUAAGGAUUGAAAAAGGGGGGAGUACAAGUGAUGUGGAGGGACCAAUUGUAUCAAUUACUUCCUAGGCUGCUCACACACACACACACACACACGGAAAUGACAGCUAACUUACAACUAAGACAAAGGAAACACCAGGCAAAUUCUGCUGUGCUUGCCUUAGGCCCCAAAAUGACUAAAUCCGCCCCUGGGAAGGAGCCCCAGGAGGAGACCUAGAUUAUGUGACUAGUCUUUUUUUCUUUCAAUAUCAAAAUCCAACCAUCAUGAAAUUCCACUGUGAAAAGGCGUCAAUAACGACAACUGAAGUAAGCCUGCCCUUGUUUAACAAAAAACUAUUUCUCAGCGAGGAGGUCUGCAGUUUUUGGAAUUAAAUAUCUGGAACCAGGCUGGGAAGACAUGGGGGAGAAGGAUGUUUGAGCUUUCUUGCUCAGCCCGCUGCCACUGCAACACUGACACAGAUAAGAAGCAGAAAAUGGAUUGUUUGCUGGCAGGUGAUGUGCUGGGAGUGCUGCAGCACCAUCGAUGGUCUGUCCCGAUGCAGUGACAUUUUGAACAUCAACAUACAGUAACAUGCUGUCAUAAUGGCUGUCAUCACCUGAGGCCAGGUCUGGAUAACUGUGGGAGCUCCAGCUGUAGACUCAACUGAACUCAUCUCAUCUCAGACUUCAUACUGACCCCUCCACAGCAGCCACAGCAGUCCCCACACAGCGCUCCCAGCAGGCCGUUCACCACCUGCACAGCACACAGCGCCAUCUGGAUUAAACCCAUUACCAGCAGCACAGAGAACAGAGAGAGAUGCCAGGACA